rnacentral:lncRNA from 1 species
GCGAAAUUUAGCAUGUGUUGACCAGCAGUAUCCCACGGAAGCAGGAUGCUAAGAACAGUUCCCGGCAACAUGGCCUUUGUGUGGAGGCUGGAAAACAACAGGAGUUGUGAAGCUUAUUUGGCUCAGGGAACAAGAAGAGCUGGGGGCUGUUAAUAAGUAGGUCUCCGAGCUGUCAGUGCUGGGACUGACAGUGGCCGAUCAGCUGGAGCCCUGUGGGAGCCAGCUCUCCCUUUCAUGGCACCACCUGUGUGAUGUAUCUCAACAACAUGGCACAUAUGGAGCCAGGCUAUUUCUGAAAGAUAUUACAAUGAAUUUCAGCUUAAACAAUUAAAAACAGAUUUCUCUUUCUAAAAUUAGAUAAAGCAGACUGAUUAGAUAAAUAUCAAAGAUUUCCAGAAUAAGACAAGCUGGAGAAGGGGUUGGCAAACAGUGGUUCCAGGCUGGCAGCCUGUUUUUACAAAUAAAGUUUUAUUGAAACACACUCUUUAUUUUAUCAAUCAUAUAUGGCUGCUUUCAGGAUACAACAGAGGGACUGAGUAGUUGCGACAGAGACCAAAUGAUCUCCAAGAGCCUAAAACAUUUCCUAUGUGGCCCUUGAAGAAAGUUUCCUGACCUCUGCUCUAGUGCAAUGGUCCCUGGGUCAGGUCUUUUCAGUAAUUCCAAAAUCGAACUGGAUUUGUGUGUGAAAUGGCCACAGAGAAUAACUACAACAAGGGAUAUCAAACUGGCGGAGCAGUCAAAUCCAGGCUGUACACGUGCAUUCUUUGGGCAGCAGUGUUGUGUUUUAUAAAAAUUAGCAACAUUUUAAAAUAAGGAGUUUUCACAUAAAAUGUCUGAUUUGGGGCUACUCUUGGCCCACAUCCCUGCAAGCAACUGUGGCCAGAGCCCAGCAAUAGCAGCCUUCUUUAGAGGGGACAUCUCCUGUUCCACUUUACCACAAUUCCGACCACAUCUUACUGUUUCCCCAUCACUAAGACAGUAUCAGACACCAUGGGUCAUGAUUCUUGCCCCACUGGGUCCACACCUGUGGGGGCUUCAUUUUGUAUUACCUGCCAGUUGGCAUAUGAGUUUGCAACCCAGCACUGACAUCAAGAUUCUUUGCUUUAGGCUUGAAUUCUCUCAGGUCACUCUCAAGCACAGGUUGUGUCCUGCUGAUGAGAAGCACUGUUACUACUGACAUUCAGUUAUUCUGUUAACUAUUACUCACAUUAAUACAUUGUCUGGAAGAAAAUAAUAAAAGUGAUGUUUCAUAAUGAAAAGAUGGGGGAACCAUUACUCUAAAACAGUGAAGGAAACAAAAUAUAUUGUCUUAGGUAAUCAGAGUGAUCUUUCUUUACCAAUCAUUAGUAACCAGUAGACUGUCAACUCCAGGAGGACAAGGGGUCCAGCCACUCCCGAUGUUUUCUCCGCAGCCAAGCAGGCCCAUCUGCCUUGCUAACAUUUUCUCCCAGGGCUUCUGGCUCUGAAUGAGUGUUCCCCAAAGUGUGGUCCCUGAGCUACCUGUGUACAACCACCUGGAGUGCUUGUUAAAGAUGCAGUUUCCUGGAUCCACCCUAGGCCAACAAAAACAGAAUCUGUUUGUUGGGACCUCAGAAUCGCCAUCAUCAAUUUUUUUAAACAAACAACUGUUGAUGAGCAAAAGCCAACAGCAUUGAGCAAUGGUCAGCUGCUAGCAAUUCUGCUGGGUCAACCAUGUGAGCCUUCAAUUCUAGACUCUCAAGAUGACUCUGAUAUGCUAAUGUGGAGACUAUGCGCUCAGGAGAAUGGCCAAACAGUAUUCUAGAGAAUAAGCACCAAACAUGAAACAUGCAAAGGGCAACGGUGAUGCCCACUACUGGGAGGGAGCCCACCUUUGGAGAAAGCCCACCAGUAGACUCUCCUCAGUUACCAGGGAAGCCAUAGAGAGAGUUCUGGAAUGCCCUGGAAUGCCCUUAGAAGUCAUCUAUGCUACAAUUUUUGACAAUUUUAUUUGCCUUCUGAUCUCCAAGGAUGAAGGUACAGUUAACCUUUUUUAGAAAAUUUGAGCCCUUAUCUGCCAUCACAAGGAUUUACUUGCUUUGUAUUUGGAGGGAAGAAAAGAAUGUUGAUUUUUAGAAGGGUUUUAAAAAUAAUAAUUGCAUCUCCC